UGAGGAAUAUUGGUCAAUGGGCGAGAGCCUGAACCAGCCAUCCCGCGUGCAGGAAGACGGCCCUAUGGGUUGUAAACUGCUUUUGCGUAUGAAGAAUGUUACCGACGUGUCGGUAAGUGACGGUAAUGCGUGAAUAAGCAUCGGCUAACUCCGUGCCAGCAGCCGCGGUAAUACGGAGGAUGCAAGCGUUAUCCGGAUUUAUUGGGUUUAAAGGGUGCGUAGGCGGCCUUGUAAGUCAGUGGUGAAAACCUGCAGCUCAACUGUAGGCGUGCCAAGGAAACUGGGAGGCUUGAGUGACGUUGAGGCAGGCGGAAUGUGUAGUGUAGCGGUGAAAUGCGUAGAUAUUACACAGAACACCGAUGGCGUAGGCAGCUUGCUAAAGGUUAACUGACGCUGAUGCACGAAAGCGUGGGGAUCGAACA
rnacentral:rRNA from 1 species